rnacentral:rRNA from 1 species
UACGGAGGGUGCAAGCGUUAUCCGGAUUCACUGGGUUUAAAGGGUGCGUAGGUGGGCAGGUAAGUCAGUGGUGAAAUCUCCGGGCUUAACCCGGAAACUGCCAUUGAUACUAUCUGUCUUGAAUAUCGUGGAGGUGAGCGGAAUAUGUCAUGUAGCGGUGAAAUGCUUAGAUAUGACAUAGAACACCAAUUGCGAAGGCAGCUUGCUACACUGUUAUUGACACUGAGGCACGAAAGCGUGGGGAUCAAACAGG